GAGAAUGUGCCUUCGGGAACCGUGAGACAGGUGCUGCAUGGCUGUCGUCAGCUCGUGUUGUGAAAUGUUGGGUUAAGUCCCGCAACGAGCGCAACCCUUAUCCUUUGUUGCCAGCGGUCCGGCCGGGAACUCAAAGGAGACUGCCAGUGAUAAACUGGAGGAAGGUGGGGAUGACGUCAAGUCAUCAUGGCCCUUACGACCAGGGCUACACACGUGCUACAAUGGCGCAUACAAAGAGAAGCGACCUCGCGAGAGCAAGCGGACCUCAUAAAGUGCGUCGUAGUCCGGAUUGGAGUCUGCAACUCGACUCCAUGAAGUCGGAAUCGCUAGUAAUCGUGGAUCAGAAUGCCACGGUGAAUACGUUCCCGGGCCUUGUACACACCGCCCGUCACACCAUGGGAGUGGGUUGCAAAAGAAGUAGGUAGCUUAACCUUCGGGAGGGCGCU
rnacentral:rRNA from 1 species